UAAGACGAAGGACCCAAGCGUUAUCCGGAUUUAUUGGGUUUAAAGGGUGCGUAGGCGGGUUGUUAAGUCAGUGGUGAAAGCCUAGAGCUUAACUCUAGAAUUGCCAUUGAUACUGACGAUCUUGAGGAUAGUUGAGGUGGGCGGAAUGUAUCAUGUAGCGGUGAAAUGCUUAGAGAUGAUACAGAACACCGAUUGCGAAGGCAGCUCACUAAGCUAUUUCUGACGCUGAGGCACGAAAGCGUGGGGAUCAAACAGG
rnacentral:rRNA from 1 species